rnacentral:rRNA from 1 species
CCCUAGUAACUGCGAGUGAAGCGGGAAAAGCUCAAAUUUAAAAUCUGGCGGUCUUUGGCUGUCCGAGUUGUAAUCUAGAGAAGUGUUAUCCGCGCUGGACCGUGUACAAGUCUCCUGGAAUGGAGCGUCAUAGAGGGUGAGAAUCCCGUCUUUGACACGGACUGCCAGGGCUUUGUGAUGCGCUCUCAAAGAGUCGAGUUGUUUGGGAAUGCAGCUCAAAAUGGGAGGUAAAUUCCUUCUAAAGCUAAAUAUUGGCGAGAGACCGAUAGCGAACAAGUACCGUGAGGGAAAGAUGAAAAGAACUUUGGAAAGAGAGUUAAACAGUACGUGAAAUUGCUGAAAGGGAAACGCUUGAAGUCAGUCGCGUUGGCCGGGAUUCAACCUUGCUUUUGCUGGGCGUACUUCCCGGUUAAUGGGUCAGCAUCAAUUUUGACCGUUGGAUAAAGGUWAGGGGAAUGUGGCAUCUUCGGAUGUGUUAUAGCCCUUGGUCGCAUACAACGGUUGGGACUGAGGAACUCAGCACGCCGCAAGGCCGGGUAUUUAUACCACGUUCGUGCUUAGGAUGCUGGCAUAAUGGCUUUAAUCGACCCGUCUUGAAACACGGACCAAGGAGUCUAACAUGCCUGCGAGUGUUUGGGUGGAAAACCCGAGCGCGUAAUGAAAGUGAAAGUUGAGAUNCCUGUCGUGGGGAGCAUCGACGCCCGGACCAGACCUUUUGUGACSGCKCCGCGGUAGAGCAUGUAUGUUGGGACCC